GGAGAUAAGACUAGAUGCGAUCUACUCUCUGCAACUUCAGAGAGAUAAGAUCCAAGGUUUUAAUCCACUCCACUGCAACUUCAGAAAGAUAGGAUUAUCGGCUUUAACUUGCUCCACUGUAACUUCAGGGAGAUAAGGUUUGCCAUCUUCAGUCUGCCUCAUUGCCACUUCAGGAGAAUAAGACUUGAUGCGAUCUGCUCUCUGCAAAUUCAGAGAGAUAAGAUCCAAGGUUUUA
rnacentral:lncRNA from 1 species